CAAAAGGCUUUUUUAAAAGCCAGAUUUAUAUAAUAAUUACAAUGU
rfam:Heterocephalus glaber contig2594, whole genome shotgun sequence.